rnacentral:rRNA from 1 species
UACGUAGGGUGCAAGCGUUGUCCGGAAUUAUUGGGCGUAAAGAGCUCGUAGGCGGUUUGUCGCGUCUGCUGUGAAAACCCGAGGCUCAACCUCGGGCCUGCAGUGGGUACGGGCAGACUAGAGUGUGGUAGGGGAGACUGGAAUUCCUGGUGUAGCGGUGGAAUGCGCAGAUAUCAGGAGGAACACCGGUGGCGAAGGCGGUUCUCUGGGCCUGACCUGACGCUGAGACACGAAAGCGUGGGUAGCAAACAGG